rnacentral:rRNA from 1 species
UACGUAGGGCGCAAGCGUUGUCCGGAAUUAUUGGGCGUAAAGAGCUCGUAGGUGGCUUGUUGCGUCUGCCGUGAAAGCCCGUGGCUUAACUGUGGGUCUGCGGUGGAUACGGGCAGGCUAGAGGCUGGUAGGGGCAAGCGGAAUUCCUGGUGUAGCGGUGAAAUGCGCAGAUAUCAGGAGGAACACCGGUGGCGAAGGCGGCUUGCUGGGCCAGUUCUGACGCUGAGGAGCGAAAGCGUGGGGGGCGAACAGG